GAAUGCUGACAUAAGUAACGAUAAAGCGGGUGAAAAGCCCGCUCGCCGGAAGACCAAGGGUUCCUGUCCAACGUUAAUCGGGGCAGGGUGAGUCGACCCCUAAGGCGAGGCCGAAAGGCGUAGUCGAUGGGAAACGGGUUAAUAUUCCCGUACUUGGUGUUACUGCGAAGGGGGGACGGAGAAGGCUAUGUUGGCCGGGCGACGGUUGUCCCGGUUUAAGCGUGUAGGUGUGUGUUCCAGGUAAAUCCGGUUCACUUUAACACUGAGGCGUGACGACGAGGCACUACGGUGCUGAAGCAACAAAUGCCCUGCUUCCAGGAAAAGCCUCUAAGCAUCAGGUAACAUCAAAUCGUACCCCAAACCGACACAGGUGGUCAGGUAGAGAAUACCAAGGCGCUUGAGAGAACUCGGGUGAAGGAACUAGGCAAAAUGGUGCCGUAACUUCGGGAGAAGGCACGCUGACACGUAGGUGAAGUGAUUUACUCAUGGAGCUGAAGUCAGUCGAAGAUACCAGCUGGCUGCAACUGUUUAUUAAAAACACAGCACUGUGCAAACACGAAAGUGGACGUAUACGGUGUGACGCCUGCCCGGUGCCGGAAGGUUAAUUGAUGGGGUCAGCGCAAGCGAAGCUCCUGAUCGAAGCCCCGGUAAACGGCGGCCGUAACUAUAACGGUCCUAAGGUAGCGAAAUUCCUUGUCGGGUAAGUUCCGACCUGCACGAAUGGCGUAAUGAUGGCCAGGCUGUCUCCACCCGAGACUCAGUGAAAUUGAACUCGCUGUGAAGAUGCAGUGUACCCGCGGCAAGACGGAAAGACCCCGUGAACCUUUACUAUAGCUUGACACUGAACAUUGAGCCUUGAUGUGUAGGAUAGGUGGGAGGCUUUGAAGUGUGGACGCCAGUCUGCAUGGAGCCGACCUUGAAAUACCACCCUUUAAUGUUUGAUGUUCUAACGUGGACCCGUUACCCGGGUUGCGGACAGUGUCUGGUGGGUAGUUUGACUGGGGCGGUCUCCUCCUAAAGAGUAACGGAGGAGCACGAAGGUUGGCUAAUCCUGGUCGGACAUCAGGAGGUUAGUGCAAUGGCAUAAGCCAGCUUGACUGCGAGCGUGACGGCGCGAGCAGGUGCGAAAGCAGGUCAUAGUGAUCCGGUGGUUCUGAAUGGAAGGGCCAUCGCUCAACGGAUAAAAGGUACUCCGGGGAUAACAGGCUGAUACCGCCCAAGAGUUCAUAUCGACGGCGGUGUUUGGCACCUCGAUGUCGGCUCAUCACAUCCUGGGGCUGAAGUAGGUCCCAAGGGUAUGGCUGUUCGCCAUUUAAAGUGGUACGCGAGCUGGGUUUAGAACGUCGUGAGACAGUUCGGUCCCUAUCUGCCGUGGGCGCUGGAGAACUGAGGGGGGCUGCUCCUAGUACGAGAGGACCGGAGUGGACGCAUCACUGGUGUUCGGGUUGUCAUGCCAAUGGCACUGCCCGGUAGCUAAAUGCGGAAGAGAUAAGUGCUGAAAGCAUCUAAGCACGAAACUUGC
rnacentral:rRNA from 1 species